rnacentral:rRNA from 1 species
GACGAACGCUGGCGGCGUGCUUAACACAUGCAAGUCGAACGAAGUGGCGAACGGGUGAGUAAUACGAGGGUAACCUGCCCUCCUUUUUGGGAUAAGCCUUGGAAACGGGAUCUAAUACCGCAUAAAGGGGGGUGGGCUCGGGGCCUAUCAGCGGGUUGGGGGGGUGAGGGCCUACCAAGGCGGUGACGGGUAGCCGGACGGAGAGGGUGACCGGCAACAUUGGGACGGAGAUACGGCCCAGACUCCCACGGGAGGCAGCUGUGGGGGAUAUGGCACAAUGGGCGAAAGCCUGAUGCAGGGACGCGGCGUGGGGGAUGAAGUCUUUAGGGUUGUAAAGCUCUUUCGAUAGCGAACGGUUAGGUGGAGAAGAAGCGCCGGCUAACUACGUGCCAGCAGCCGCGGUAAUUC